CCUACGGGUGGCAGCAGUCAAGAAUAUUCCUCAAUGGCCGAAAGGCUGAAGGAGCGACGCCGCGUGGUGGAAGAAGGCCUUCGGGUUGUAAACACCUUUUAUUAGGGACGAAUUUUGACGGUACCUAAUGAAUAAGAGGUUGCUAACUCUGUACCAGCAGCAGCGGUAAUACAGAGACCUCGAGCGUUACCCGGAUUUACUGGGCGUAAAGCGUCCGCAGGCGGUUCAGUGCGUCUUAUGUUAAAUGUUAGGGCUCAACCUUGACACUGCGUGAGAUACGGCUGAACUAGAGACUGGGAGAGGUAAGCGGAAUUCUCGGUGUAGUAGUAAAAUGCGUUAAUAUCGAGAGAACACCAAUUGCGAAGGCAGCUUACUGGAACAGAUCUGACGCUCAUGGACGAAAGCGUGGGGAGCGAAAGGGAUUAGAUACCCCAGUAGUC
rnacentral:rRNA from 1 species